GCGGCCAUGGUGUAGCCUGGCAGCACAGGGGACUGUGGAUCCCCUAGGCCGAGUUCAAAUCUCGGUGGCCGCC
rnacentral:tRNA from 1 species